UACAGAGGGUGCAAGCGUUGCUCGGAUUUACUGGGCGUAAAGCGUACGCAGACGGUGAGAAAGGUCGGAUGUGAAAGCCCCGGGCUCAACCCGGGAACUGCAUCCGAAACCAUCUCGCUAGAGUAUGGGAGAGGGAAGCGGAAUUCCUGGUGUAGAGGUGAAAUUCGUAGAUAUCAGGAGGAACACCGGCGGCCGAAGGCGGCUUCCUGGCCCAUUACUGACGUUCAGGUACGAAAGCGUGGGUAGCAAACAGGAUUAGAUGACCCUA
rnacentral:rRNA from 1 species